rnacentral:rRNA from 1 species
UACGGAAGGCAGCAGUGGGGAAUAUUGCACAAUGGGCGAAAGCCUGAUGCAGCUAUGCCGCGUGUAUGAAGAAGGCCUUAGGGUUGUAAAGUACUUUCAUCGGGGAGGAAAAAACAAAACUAAUAAUUUUAUUUCUUGACGUUACCCGAAAAAGAAGCACCGGCUAACUCCGUGCCAGCAGCCGCGGUAAUACGGAGGGUGCUAGCGUUAAUCGGAAUUACUGGGCGUAAAGGGCACGCAGGCGGUUAAUUAAGUUGGAUGUGAAAUCCCCGGGCUUAACCUGGGAAUGGCAUUCAAGACUGGUUAGCUAGAGUCUUGUAGAGGGGGUAGAAUUCCAUGUGUAGCGGUGAAAUGCGUAGAGAUGUGGAGGAAUACCGGUGGCGAAGGCGGCCCCUGGACAAAGACUGACGCUCAUGUGCGAAAGCGUGGGGAGCAAACAGGGAUUAGAUACC